GAAACUCAAGCUAAUACCGCAUACGCCCUACGGGGGAAAGCGGGGGACCUUCGGGCCUCGCGCUAUUGGAUGAGCCUAUGUCAGAUUAGCUUGUUGGUGGGGUAACGGCCUACCAAGGCGACGAUCUGUAGCUGGUCUGAGAGGACGAUCAGCCACACUGGGACUGAGACACGGCCCAGACUCCUACGGGAGGCAGCAGUGGGGAAUAUUGCACAAUGGGCGAAAGCCUGAUGCAGCAAUGCCGCGUGUGUGAAGAAGGCCUGCGGGUUGUAAAGCACUUUCAGUGGGGAGGAAACAGUUGCGGGUUAAUAUCCCGCGACCUUGACGUUACCCACAGAAGAAGCACCGGCUAACUCUGUGCCAGCAGCCGCGGUAAUACAGAGGGUGCGAGCGUUAAUCGGAAUUACUGGGCGUAAAGCGCGCGUAGGCGGCUUGGUCAGUCGGAUGUGAAAGCCCCGGGCUUAACCUGGGAAUUGCAUUCGAUACUGCCUGGCUAGAAUGUAGUAAAGGGAAGUGGAAUUCCAGGUGUAGCGGUGAAAAUGCGUAGAUAUCUGGAGGAACAUCAGUGG
rnacentral:rRNA from 1 species